rnacentral:rRNA from 1 species
AGCAGCCGCGGUAAUUCCAGCUCCAAUAGCGUAUAUUAAAGUUGUUGCAGUUAAAAAGCUCGUAGUUGAAUUUCGGGAUUGACGUGAUGGUCGUGCCUUAAGGGGUAUGAACUGUCGCAGUUGAUUUCUCACCUUCUGGAGAAGCAUGAUGUCCUUAAUUGGGUGUCAUGUGGAACCAGGACCUUUACCUUGAAAAAAUUAGAGUGUUUAAAGCAGGCAUUUUGCUCGAAUACAUUAGCAUGGAAUAAUAGAAUAGGACGGCAUGGUUCUAUUUUGUUGGUUUCUAGGAUCACCGUAAUGAUUAAUAGGGAUAGUUGGGGGCAUUAGUAUUCAAUUGUCAGAGGUGAAAUUCUUGGAUUUAUUGAAGACUAACUACUGCGAAAGCAUUUGCCAAGGAUGUUUUCAUUAAUCAAGAACGAAAGUUAGGGGAUCGAAGACGAUCAGAUACCGUCGUAGUCUUAACCAUAAACUAUGCCGACUA